GCCAGCAUUGUGUAGUGGUUUGAACACUAGACUACAGCUCUGGAGCCAGCAUUCAAAUCCCUGAUCAGCCA